CGUAGGUGACCUGCGGAAGGAUCAUUAUCGAGUUUGGUUGGGUUGUCGCUGGCCGCAAGGCAUGUGCACGCCCAUCUUCAUCCACUCUCAACUUCUGUGCACUAUCGCAUGUAAGGUUGGCUUUGUGACGGUGGGAGGCUGGCUUCACGGCUGGUCUCGUCCGUUGUAUCGCUCUGCCUUGCGUGUCUUCACUACAAACGAUUCAGUUAUAGAAUGUCUCUAUGCGGAUAACGCAACUAUAUACAACUUUCAGCAACGGAUCUCUUGGCUCUCGCAUCGAUGAAGAACGCAGCGAAAUGCGAUAAGUAAUGUGAAUUGCAGAAUUCAGUGAAUCAUCGAAUCUUUGAACGCACCUUGCGCUCCUUGGUAUUCCGAGGAGCAUGCCUGUUUGAGUCUCAUGGAAUUCUCAACCUUGCAGUUUUGCUACUGCAAGGCUUGGACUUGGAGGUCGUGUCGGCUCUCGUCAGUUGACUCCUCUGAAAUGCAUUAGUGCGGACGUUACCGGUCGCUUCAGCGUGAUAAUUAUCUGCGCUGCCGUCGUGCUGGUAUGUAAAGUACGCGCUUCUAACCGUCCUUCACGGGACAAAUCACUAUGAAACUCUGAGCUCAAAUCAGGUAGGACUACCCGCUGAACUUAAGCAUAUCAAUAAGCGGAGGAAAAGAAACUAACAAGGAUUCCCCUAGUAACUGCGAGUGAAGCGGGAAAAGCUCAAAUUUAAAAUCUGGCGGUCUUCGGCCGUCCGAGUUGUAAUCUGGAGAAGCGUC
rnacentral:rRNA from 1 species